CUUGCUACCUCUGUCUCCUUCUCAUUCUUUUCUCUCUCUUACCUUCGACGAACCCGAAGAAGAAGCUGAAGAAACUUGUAAAGAAAAUCAUCUAAAUUUUGUGGAAUUGCCCAUAUCUUGUGUAAAGGAAUUUGGAUUUGUUUAUAAUGUUUUCAGGCACUCAUCAUAUGUUGUCAAGAAAUAUUGGGUGGUUAAGAUCUGUUCAAAUGCAGUCAGAUCCUGGGAAAGCU